AGAGUUUGAUCCUGGCUCAGGACGAACGCUGGCGGCGUGCUUGAUACAUGCAAGUCGAGCGGGGUAUGUAUAGAUCUUCGGAUUUGUAUAUACCUAGCGGCGGACGGGUGAGUAACACGUGGGUAACCUGCCCAUCAAUGGGGGAUAACACUGGGAAACUGGUGCUAAUACCGCAUAUUGUCGAUAUAUCUGCGGGUGUAUCGAUGAAAGGCUUCGGUCGUUGAUGGAUGGGCUCGCGUCCCAUUAGUUAGUUGGUGAGGUAAUGGCUCACCAAGACGGCGAUGGGUAGCCGGUUUGAGAGGAUGGCCGGUCACACUGGGACUGAGACACGGCCCAGACUCCUACGGGAGGCAGCAGUACGGAAUUUUGCACAAUGGGCGAAAGCCUGAUGCAGCGACGCCGCGUGGGCGAUGAAGGCCUUUGGGUCGUAAAGCCCUGUCAGUGGGGACGAAUAAUGACGGUACCCGUUGAGGAAGCCCCGGCUAACUACGUGCCAGCAGCCGCGGUAACACGUAGGGGGCGAGCGUUGUCCGGAAUUACUGGGCGUAAAGAGCGCGUAGGCGGGCUGUCAAGUCAGAUGUGAAAUCCCCCGGCUCAACCGGGGAACUGCAUUUGAAACUGUCAGUCUUGAGUACAGAAGAGGAGAGUGGAAUUCCCGGUGGAGCGGUGAAAUGCGUAGAGAUCGGGAGGAACACCAGUGGCGAAGGCGGCUCUCUGGUCUGUAACUGACGCUGAGGCGCGAAAGCUAGGGGAGCAAACAGGAUUAGAUACCCUGGUAGUCCUAGCCGUAAACGAUGGGCACUAGGUGUGGGAGGUAUCGACCCCUUCCGUGCCGGAGUUAACGCAUUAAGUGCCCCGCCUGGGGAGUACGGUCGCAAGGCUGAAACUCAAAGGAAUUGACGGGGGCCCGCACAAGCGGUGGAGCAUGUGGUUUAAUUCGAGGCUACGCGAAGAACCUUACCUGGGCUUGACAUCCCCUGAUCGUCGAUGAAAGUCGAUUUUCCCUGCGGGGACAGGGAGACAGGUGCUGCAUGGUUGUCGUCAGCUCGUGUCGUGAGAUGUUGGGUUAAGUCCCGCAACGAGCGCAACCCUUGCUCUGUGUUGCCAGCAUUAAGUUGGGGACUCACAGGGGACUGCCGGAGAUAAUCCGGAGGAAGGCGGGGAUGACGUCUAAUCAUCAUGGCCUUUAUGUCCAGGGCUACACACGUGCUACAAUGGCCGGUACAAUGGGCAGCCACAUCGCGAGAUGGAGCGAAUCCUAAAAACCGGUCUCAGUUCGGAUUGCAGGCUGCAACUCGCCUGCAUGAAGCUGGAAUCGCUAGUAAUCGCGGAUCAGAACGCCGCGGUGAAUACGUUCCCGGGCCUUGUACACACCGCCCGUCACGUGAUGGAAGCUGGCAACACCCGAAGCCAGUGGCUCAACCCGCAAGGGAGAGAGCUGUCGAAGGUGGGGCUGGUAACUGGGACGAAGUCGUAACAAGGUAGCCGUAGCGGAAGCUGCGGCUG
rnacentral:rRNA from 1 species